AGACUAUAUAUAGGGAGUACAUAGAGGCGGGAUUAGAAGCCAUAAAGGAUACAUCGUGAUACAUAGGUACUACAUAGGGAGACAUGGGUAAUUUCAGCAUGUUGGUGGUGUGUGUUGCUGUGAUCUUCAGUCUGGUCUCAGUGAGUCAGGCGACUCCUGUUUCUCAAACCUGUGAGACUCUUCUGAAACCUCUAGAGAUGAAAACCAUAGACCCGGUUGGAUGGGACAUGUUCCAGUAGCAAUAUCAGUGUUGCCCUUGAAGACAACAAGCUCAACUGGACGUACAAUUUCCCUUCUUCCGCGGUCUUCCUGCCAACUUGUCCAGACUGUCUUUUGAACCAGAUUACAACCACCAUCAAUGGAAACAACUUCAUGUCUCUGGAACUCUACAGUAAGAACUGAAAGGAAUUUAAUUGAUGGCACUUGAACUGAAAGGGAUUGAAGUUGAGUUUAUUCAUUAAAGAAAGCAUUCCUGACAUUUGGAGACUUGUAGACAUCCCAGCUUGGCAGACCUGUCGAGAUCCAACACCCUCUUUCAUUUAUUGUCACUUCACAUCCCGGCAUGGCACACCUGUCGAGAUCCAACGCCCUCCCUCCCACAGUUGGACCACGGACACCUGUUCAUUGCUAUUUUCUUAACUCAAUAUUUAAUUUAAAUUUCUUAACUUAAUAAUUGGAAAAAUACUGAUUCACUUUCAUUCCCUUCUGACAGGUAAGAGAAGAGAACUCUCCGCUGCUGAACUGUUUCAGUUCAAGACACAGGUUGCCUGUCUCAACUUGCCACAGGCAGUUUUCCUCAACUCUAAGACAGAACACUGUCCAGACACCACUGCAAGGAUUCCCAUCAUGGAAGAGAAGUACAUGGAGUUCAUUCAAUCUAUGGAGACCGAACCUCUCAAGGGAUUUUUUUCAGUAACAGAUUAUCUCAUUGAGAAGGCAGAAUGCCUGGGAUGGAUUUAAAGCAGGCUCAGUUAUCCUGGUGGACUGGAGCUUUCCAAUUGAUUCAGCUAAUAAAUGUCUUGGUGAGCAUCUAAUCUCACCAAGGGAUUUACUCAAGCAGAAUCACAUGGGUUUAACUGUACUCUGAAUGAAAGGGGAGUUGGUGAAACCAUUUAGACUUUUUGUCUUCAUAAAGAACCGCUUCACUAACCUUACAAAAUGAUGUUUUCUAAUGGAACUUAACAACACCUGAUGAAGGUCUGAGAUGAACUGUAAUAUCUACAGUGGCUGUGAUACUGUAAAAAAAUCUGUAGGUUUUCAACAGGUUGUAUGAACAGUUUUAUGCAUGAAAAUGAUACUAUACAUGAUGUGACUAGAGCUUCAUUCUGUGUCCUUAAAGGCCUUUCCGAUAACUACAUUUAUAUUGUUGUUGGUAUUUAUUUCUCCUGUCUUUUCGUCCUGUUUGCCCUUCAUUGAGUUUCAAUCCCUCCCAAUCGGUCCCACCCUCCCAACUGGAGAAAGGUUAUCUCUAAUCAUCCACUGCUCAUUGGUACCAUGUCAGUGAUCAGUGGAUUAACCCAAUCAGUUACAACCUCCACUGUCAGACAAUCUUUCACAGUAUUUGAUCAUGUCAUUGUCUCCUUCUGGAAUGCAUCCCUCCAUUCUGCCAUGGGUCUUCCUGGGUGUUUUUCCCUGUGUGUAUCAUAUGUGCAGAUACUGACCCAAAGAUUGUCUCUCCUAUUGCCUGACUCUGGUCCUCCAGGUCUUCCAGAACUACAGUCGUAGAUACAAUUACACCUUGAUGAUACGAUUUGACAACCGUUGCUUUACUUUGAGAAAUUAGCCAACGAUGGAUUUAGGCAGUACAUACAGAAUCUCACAAAAGUGAGUACACCCCUCACAUUUUUGUAAAUAUUUUAGUAUAUCUUUUCAUGUGACAACACUGAAGAAAUGAUGCUUUGCUACAAUGUAAAGUAGUGAGUGUACAGCUUGUAUAAAAGUGUAAAUUAGCUGUCCCCUCAAAAUAACUACACAAACAGCCAUUGAGUACACCCCUAAGUGAAAAUGUCUAAAUUGGGCCCAAUAAGCCAUUUUCCCUCCUCGGUGUCAUGUGACUCGUUAGGUGUGAAUGGGGAGCAGGUGUGUUAAAUGUGGUGUCAUCGCUCUCACACUUUCUUCAGUGUUGUCACAUGAAAAGAUAUAAUCAAAUAUUUACAAAAAUGUGAGAUACUGUACCUUUUUUGAUGAUAUGGUGAUAGAUUUAUGAUGUUACGAACGUGCCCCAAAAACAAAACUGAUGGUGAGAUACUGUAUAAUGUAAUGACAAUAAUUAAGAUGCAACGAAUAUUGCAAAAUACUCUAUAUCUAUAUAUAUUUUGUUGCAUUCUCAAAUCAUAAGUGUAUGCACCAAAACAAUAUUAUAAUGCGAAAAGUGCUAUAAAAAACAUUCAACAGAAGAA
ensembl:lncRNA